rnacentral:rRNA from 1 species
AGCUAAAAGAAACCAAAAUAUUUUUAGUAAAGCCUGCCCAGUGAUUUUAUUUAACGGCCGCAGUACCUUGACUGUGCUAAGGUAGCAUAAUAAAUUGGCUUUUAAUUAAAGUCUGGAAUGAAUGGCAUUUUAAAAUUUUUCUGUCAUAAUAAAUUAUUUAUUUUAACUUAUUUAUUUGGUGAAAAUACCAAAACUAUUAGUAAAAAGACGAGAAGACCCUAAGAAUUUAAAAUAUUUUUUGUUGGGGCGACAAAAAGACAUAUAAACUCUUUUAUUAUUUUUAGUAUAUAACGCAUAAUAUUAAUUAAAAAUAAAUUACCUUAGGGAUAACAGCAUAAUUAGUUUUUUAACUGUUUAUGACCUCGAUGUUGGACUAGAAAAUUUUUGGGCUAGCUGCUAAAAAAGUUUGUUCUGUUCGAACAAUAAUUUUCU